rnacentral:rRNA from 1 species
UACGGAGGGGGCUAGCGUUGUUCGGAAUUACUGGGCGUAAAGCGUACGUAGGCGGCUUUGCAAGUUAGAGGUGAAAGCCCGGGGCUCAACCCCGGAAUUGCCUUUAAGACUGCAUCGCUUGAACGUCGGAGAGGUGAGUGGAAUUCCGAGUGUAGAGGUGAAAUUCGUAGAUAUUCGCAAGAACACCAGUGGCGAAGGCGGCUCACUGGCCCGGUACUGACGCUGAGGUGCGAAAGCGUGGGGAGCAAACAGG